rnacentral:rRNA from 1 species
AUUGAACGCUGGCGGCAUGCUUUACACAUGCAAGUCGAGCGGCAGCGCGGGGGCAACCCUGGCGGCGAGCGGCGAACGGGUGAGUAAUGCAUCGGAACGUGUCCCGUAGUGGGGGAUAACGCCGCGAAAGCGGCGCUAAUACCGCAUAUGCUCUACGGAGGAAAGUGGGGGACCUGCAAGGGCCUCACGCUAUGGGAGCGGCCGAUGUCCGAUUAGCUAGUUGGGGGGUAAUGGCCUACCAAGGCGACGAUCGGUAGCUGGUCUGAGAGGAUGAUCAGCCACACUGGGACUGAGACACGGCCCAGACUCCUACGGGAGGCAGCAGU